rnacentral:rRNA from 1 species
AGAGUUUGAUCAUGGCUCAGAUUGAACGCUGGCGGCAUGCCUUACACAUGCAAGUCGAACGGUAACGCGGGGGCAACCCUGGCGACGAGUGGCGAACGGGUGAGUAAAGCAUCGGAACGUGCCCAAUAGUGGGGGAUAGCCCGGCGAAAGCCGGAUUAAUACCGCAUACGACCUGAGGGUGAAAGCGGGGGAUCGCAAGACCUCGCGCUGAUGGAGCGGCCGAUGUCAGAUUAGGUAGUUGGUGGGGUAAAGGCUCACCAAGCCGACGAUCUGUAGCUGGUCUGAGAGGACGACCAGCCACACUGGGACUGAGACACGGCCCAGACUCCUACGGAAGGCAGCAGUGGGGAAUUUUGGACAAUGGGCGCAAGCCUGAUCCAGCCAUGGCCGCGUGCGGGAAGAAGGCCUUCGGGUUGUAAACCGCUUUUGUUCGGGAAGAAAUCCCUUGGGUUAAUACCUCGAGGGGAUGACGGUACCGGAAGAAUAAGCACCGGCUAACUACGUGCCAGCAGCCGCGGUAAUACGUAGGGUGCAAGCGUUAAUCGGAAUUACUGGGCGUAAAGCGUGCGCAGGCGGUUGUGCAAGACAGAUGUGAAAUCCCCGGGCUCAACCUGGGAACUGCAUUUGUGACUGCACGGCUAGAGUGCGGCAGAGGGGGAUGGAAUUCCGCGUGUAGCAGUGAAAUGCGUAGAUAUGCGGAGGAACACCGAUGGC